rnacentral:rRNA from 1 species
CCUGGCCUUGACAUACUAAGAACUUUCCAGAGAUGGAUUGGUGCCUUCGGGAACUUAGAUGCAGGUGCUGCAUGGCUGUCGUCAGCUCGUGUCGUGAGAUGUUGGGUUAAGUCCCGCAACGAGCGCAACCCUUUUCCUUAUUUGCCAGCGGGUAAUGCCGGGAACUUUAAGGAUACUGCCAGUGACAAACUGGAGGAAGGCGGGGACGACGUCAAGUCAUCAUGGCCCUUACGGCCAGGGCUACACACGUGCUACAAUGGUCGGUACAAAGGGUUGCUACCUCGCGAGAGGAUGCUAAUCUCAAAAAAGCCGAUCGUAGUCCGGAUCGCAGUCUGCAACUCGACUGCGUGAAGUCGGAAUCGCUAGUAAUCGCGGAUCAGAAUGCCGCGGUGAAUACGUUCCCGGGCCUUGUACACACCGCCCGUCACACCAUGGGAGUUUGUUGCACCAGAAGUAGGUAGUCUAACCGCAAGGAGGACGCUUACCACGGUGUGGCCGAUGACUGGGGUGAAGUCGUAACAAGGUAAGCGUACUACA